rnacentral:rRNA from 1 species
AAUGAACGUUGGCGGCAUGGAUUAGGCAUGCAAGUCGAGCGAGAAGUGUAGCAAUACACGGAAAGCGGCGGAAGGGAGAGUAAUACGUGGGAAUCUGCCCUUAGACCUGGGAUAGCAGCGGGGAACUGCUGGUAAUACCAGAUAAUGUCUAUGGACCAAAGGUGUGAUUCCGUCUAGGGAUGAGCCCACGUCCUAUUAGCUAGUUGGUAGGGUAAUGGCCUACCAAGGCGAUGAUGGGUAGCGGGUGUGAGAGCAUGACCCGCCUCACUGGGACUGGGACACUGCCCAGACACCUACGGGUGGCUGCAGUCGAGAAUCUUCGGCAAUGGGCGCAAGCCUGACCGAGCGAUGCCGCGUGCGGGAUGAAGGCCUUCGGGUUGUAAACCGCUGUCGAGGGGGAGCAACUUCCAUAGAGUUAUCUUUAUGGAUUGAGUGAUCCCUGGAGGAAGGACGGGCUAAGUUCGUGCCAGCCGCCGCAGUAAGAC